rnacentral:rRNA from 1 species
ACCCUUAGAUGUCCGGGGCCGCACGCGCGCUACACUGAAGGAAUCAGCGUGGCCUUCUCCCUGACCCGAAAGGGUUGGGAAACCCGUUGAAUCUCCUUCGUGAUAGGGAUUGGGGCUUGAAAUUGUUCCCCAUGAACGAGGAAUUCCCAGUAAGCGCGAGUCAUAAGCUCGCGUUGAUUACGUCCCUGCCCUUUGUACACACCGCCCGUCGCUACUACCGAUUGAACGGUUUAGUGAGGGCCUCGGAUUGGUCUCGGCCCGCUCUUUACCGGGCGGCGCCGUUGGUCGAGAAGACGCUCGAACUUGAUCGUUUAGAGGAAGUAAAAGUCGUAACA